CAGAAAUGAGGCGCUUUCACAAUCGCCCUCGUUCGUGUCGAGGCGGAAGAGUCCCGGGGAAGACAGCAGAUCAUGAUUCCGCGAUCGGAGACGACGGGGAAGGGCAGGACAUCGCGUUCAUAUCACACACCAUAGCGUGAGCACUCCCUCUGCUGGUGCAAGAAGCUGGAAAAUCUCUGGAAGCUGGAAGAGAAAUGAUGAGCUGCAUCGUUGUAUCAAACCACUGCAAGAUAAAUCCUCAUCUUGAAAUGAUGAGCGGUUGAUGUGAAAGUGUGAAUAUACUAAUUGAAAACCUAAUGUAAAUGACAGCACCUGAGGAAUCAAGUCCGUGUGAGUGUGUGUGUGUGUGUGUGUGUGUGUGUGUGUGUGUGUGUGUGUGUGUGUGAGAGAGAGAGAGAGAGAGAGAGAGAGAGAGAGAGUGCAGGUGUGUGAGUGUGUGUAUGUGUGUUUUUGUUUGUUUGUUUUAAAUAUUCAUGAUAAGUACAUGAUGUAACAUUGUGAAAUUACUGCAAGGUAAGUCUGUGCAAAACUAGGUUUCUAAAUUCUAUUUGGAAGUCAAAAUUAGUUAAGGCUCUGUUGUUAUUAUUAUUAUUAUUAUUAUUAUUAUUAUAUAUUUUUGAAUGCCCCAAUUUGAAUUUCAUAUUUCUUUAGGAAACCACCCUCUCCCUUUGCCCCAUACCUGUUGUGCUACAAUCUCCAGCGCCAGAAUUUAUUUGGCAGAGAAGACAGUUUGUGAGAAACAAGUUGUUAAGCAGGAAAAAAAGGACAUUGGAUUAGAUUCUUUUAAAAUGUAGUGUAUUCUUUCAUAUGUCUAUAAAUAAAAGUAAUGUAAUACCU